GGACGUAGCAAUACGUCAGUGGCGAACGGGUGAGUAAUGUAUCGCUAACGUGCCCCCGAGUCAGGGAUAGCUGCCCGAAAGGGCAGGUAAUGCCUGAUGAGACCACGAAGAGGCAUCUCUUUGUGCUCAAAGCAGCAAUGCGCUCAGGGAGCGGGCGAUAUCGUAUCAGCUAGUUGGUGAGGUAACGGCUCACCAAGGCGACGACGCGUAGCCGGACUGAGAGGUUGGCCGGCCACAUUGGGACUGAGACACUGCCCAGACUCCUACGGGGGGCUGCAGUAACGAAUCUUCCGCAAUGCACGCAAGUGUGACGGAGCGACGCCGCGUGUGGGACGAAGUCCUUCGGGAUGUAAACCACUGUCAGGGGUUACCAAGUUCUGAGGAGCCCCAGAGGAAGGCACGGCUAACUCUGUGCCAGCAGCCGCGGUAAGACAGAGGUGCCAAGCGUUAGGCGGAAUCACUGGGCUUAAAGCGUGUGUAGGCGGAUCGUUAAGUACCUUGUGAAAUCCCACGGCUCAACCGUGGAACUGCUGGGUAUACUGGCGAUCUUGAGCCACCUAGGGGCGAGCGGAACAAGCGGUGGAGCGGUGAAAUGCGUAGAUAUCGCUUGGAACGCCAACGGUGAAAACAGCUCGCUGGGGGUGUGCUGACGCUGAGACACGAAAGCCAGGGGAGCGAACGGGAUUAGAUACCCCGGUAGUCCUGGCCCUAAACGAUGUCGACUAGAUCGUAGUGCCUCUGACGGUAUUACGGUCGAAGCAAAAGUGCUAAGUCGACCGCCUGGGAAGUACGGUCGCAAGGCUAAAACUC
rnacentral:rRNA from 1 species